UUAUGCCCCCAUUAGAAGCAGCCUUCUCACGGCUCACUGCGUUACACUUGGGGAGUCUGAAGCAGCCUCCCUGCAGUUUUAUUUUGCUCACAAAACGCGUUAAUGACGGUUUCACCAUCAGAGCUAGCGAAUAUGAAACGAGUAGAAUGAGCUUUGGAGAAGACUCGAGGAGGCAACUAAAGCAGUGUUGUAUAAUUGCGUAUUCGCAUCUCUCUCCUCCUUCUGAUGUCCUUCAUUAGCACACUCUGCUUUGUUUGGAGAUGGUCAGUCACAGCACAUGCAAGAAAAUGACAGGAUGAUCACGCACCUAUGGCAGUCAGCCUGCAGCGACAAGAUGCCCAGAGCAAGCGUGGUCCUGGAGAGAAUCAAAGAAAGUCCCAGAAGAGCCAACAAAAAACGUUGCUACUUCAGGCUUGAUGAUGAAAAAAAGUAAGACCAAGAGUGCCCAUUCGGCUCCAGAUCAAUUGAGUGUGAAGGACAGUGGGAAAAGAGACAGUGAAUUUAAUGACAGUUCACACCAAUAUAAGUGGAGAAAGGCUAAAGGACCACCUUUAGAGACGAUGGAAAAACAGGUCACUGACUUUCCCAAUGAACUCCAAGCGACAUUCAACAUGUUGGGUGAUUCCUGUUGAGGGACCUAUCAUGUUUUAUAUCUUCUGUAUCCAGAUUAACUGAUUCCCACAUUACAGACUACAGAUUUUCUGUCUAGCAUCUAACAAACUAGAGCGUUUGUCUCAAUGUAAUUAUUCCCAGGAACAUUAGUUCCCUACUUAAAACAUGAAAGAUUUUGGAAGGCAGUGGAACUAGCCCAGACUAACACUGAAAACUUGUUAAGAGCAAAAUUAAUAUUGAUAUUGCCCGAAAAUAGUUAGAUCUAUGCCCAACUCUACCCAGAAACAAAGUUUCACCUGAUCAGUUGUGACUGUCUAGAGAUGUUCACCUCUCAGUGACCACCUCUAUGGUCUCUUGUAGUUGACAGGAGGUAGUAAGCACUUUUGUGGCUAAAUUCACUUUACCUUGAAGGAGAGGAUAACCAAAUUUUGAAAAGAAAAAUGCCUCAAACUCACCUGUUUGUUUCCUUAACUAUUGGAAAAACCCUCAGGUGGUCAGAUCAGAUGUGAGCAUCUGGCUCUUUGCAAACCUAAAUCUAAGGCAGAUGAACCCAGUGAAGACAGGUCCUCUCUUUUAUUAAAUGUAAUAUAGAGCUCACAUCAUCCUUUUUUGAGCAAUGCGCUUCUCUUGCUGAUCAGAGUCAUGCUGCAGAAUAAUGUGAAUUCUUCAUAUGCCUCUAAAUCAUCACUUGUAUAGAAGGCUGUCUUCAAAUUUGAUUCCAGAGGAAGCACUGCCAAAGUACAUUUAAAAGACCUGUAUUAUCAGACCUGAAUCUGAAUUUGUUUGCCCUUAAGCAAGAUGGCCUAAAUGUUAAAAGCAAUUUUGAAGGUAAGUAUCUGAAAAUCCCAGUGACUGACUAGCUGAUUCUUCAGGUACUUAGGCACGGAGUCCCAGAGGCAGUCCUUGUCUAUGGCAGUGGCUUUUUUCCCCUGUUUUUAACAACGCACCUGAAAGCGUGGGGAUUCUAAAUAAAAAUUGCUUUCUUCAUGUUUAAUCAACUCCACAGGACGAAUUUGAGCAAAGCUGUAAAUACUUUUUAUCUUUUUGUCUUUUGUUUGGUUUUUUUGUCAUAUCACAAAGCACAGGACAUUUGGCUUCACAAAUUAUAUUUGGUUUUGUAAGAAAGAACUAGAGCUCCCUUCUUUUGAAACAAGCUUUAAAUAAUCAGUAUUUUUUUAGCCUUUCAAAAUCUCUGAAAGUUUAAAUGAUCCAAUAAGGGAGAGAUGAAAGUAGAAAUAAACCAAAUGCAUAGAAAAGCAAGAAUGAAGGGUGCAUUUAGCCUGAAAAGCAAUUUACACAGUGUCUUGUUCCUGUUAAAACAAACUAUGAAUGAAUAUACAGAUUUAUACACCUCAGAGGAUAGUUGCAAAGAUUUUUAUGGAGUCGCAGGACACUAAGCCUAUUGAAUCCAUUCAAAAAUGGUUCGGUAGCUUGUUGUGCAGCCAGCAGCAAGAGAUAUUUUGAUAAAUAUGUCUUUCUUUUUGCCUGCGUAGUCUUGCAAAUAACCACUAGAUGGCACUGGUUUUGCAUGGCUGGAAAUUAAGCACGCUUUUUCCAGAGGAAAAUAGGAAUGGCUGGUUCCAUUAAAUUCUACGUUAUAUCAGUAGGUGGCAGAUUUGGGCUAUUUACGGGAAAAA